rnacentral:rRNA from 1 species
GACGAACGCUGGCGGCGUGCCUAAUACAUGCAAGUCGAACGCAGUGGGGACGGGUGAGUAACACGUGGGUAACCUCCCAUCAGAGGGGAUAACACUUGGAAACAGGUGCUAAACCGAUACUGAUGGAUGGACCCGCGGUGCAGUACCUAGUUGGGGUGGUAACGGCUCACCAAGGCCACGAGGCAUAGACGACAUGAGAGUGUGAUCGGCCACGAGAGGACGGGGGCACGGCCCAGACUCCUACGGGAGGCAUCAGUAGAGAUUCGUCGGCAGAAGACGAAAGGCUAUCCGAGCAACGCGGCGGAAGUGAAGAAGGUAUUCGGAUCGUAAAACUCGGUUGUUAGAGAAGCGGUAUCUAACCAGAAAGCCACGGCUAACUACGUGCCAGCAGCCGCGGUAAUUC